CUUUAAAGCCCAGUAAUUUGUUAAGGAUAUAUGUUGGUACAGGGAAGAUUAGCAUGGUCUCUGUGCAAGGAUGACCUGCAAAUUUGUGAAGCAAUCCAUAUUUUU
rfam:Mustela putorius furo unplaced genomic scaffold scaffold00050, whole genome shotgun sequence.